AAAGGAAACACACAUGACCUUAGUUAGUAAACCACAGCCAACAUACAUUACAUAGAAGUACAAAGACAGAUAUUUUUACAAAUGGGAAACUACGAAAUACGACAUGAUCUCCUCGAUGCAAUGACAACGUCUAAGCAAUCUUGUUGGACUUGCUUGAUGCCGCACCAUCAUCGAUUUCAAUUUCGGCAGGCUUCAGAUUGUUAACACCCCUUCUUCGUCCGUCCGCUUGGACAUCUCUAACCGUUCAUCGUAAUCCUCCAAGAUGGCAUUAGCAAUCGUAGGCUUCACUGGUUCCUCCCACGGCAUCAGACGUGUCAUGCUGGAAUCUACGGCAGCGAAUAACUCCUUGAAUGCCGAAGGUUGGUUUUCGUUGUGCACAUGAGGAACCAUAAGCUGUCAAUUGGUCAAUAAAAAAGUUUACAUGUUAAUUUAUCAGUAGGUAGGAAAUGCAGCAUGUAACCAUGCACCUAAAAGAUUAAUACCUUUGCACAUUUUAUGUCAGUUUUAACACAAUAAAAAAAUUCAUAAAAUAUAUAAUAAACCUAGCAUAAUCAGUAAGCAAUACCAAAUUUGAAAGAACUAACCAUGUAAGAACGAAACUAUAAACGACGAACGAUUUCUUCAUAGACUACAUUCCUUGUGAUUGGCGAAUGUUCUCCGUUCUCAUCUUCAAUUAAGAAUUUUAGACCCUUCCGGAACUGCACAAAGGGUCAAAAGCAUACCAACCAGAAUUGGAAUUGAGGAAAUCGCUCAUACAAAAAAAGGAAUCAACAUAUGUGGAACCAAACAAAAUUUAGAUGCUUCUAAAACAAAAUUUUGUUGGAAAAAAUUGUAUAGAAAAACUUAUUUGAAAUCUGCCCAAAAACUAGACAAAUAACAAAAAAAACGAAAAAAACAAUGCAGCUGGCCCGGCGCGCGAAGCUGCUGGCCUCGGCCUACCGCAG
rnacentral:lncRNA from 1 species